rnacentral:rRNA from 1 species
AAUAGAUACCCAGGUAGUCCAUGCCGUAAACGUUGGGAACUAGAUGUGGGGACCAUUCCACGGUCUCCGUGUCGCAGCUAACGCAUUAAGUUCCCCGCCUGGGGAGUACGGCCGCAAGGCUAAAACUCAAAGGAAUUGACGGGGGCCCGCACAAGCGGCGGAGCAUGCGGAUUAAUUCGAUGCAACGCGAAGAACCUUACCAAGGCUUGACAUAUACCGGAAACGUCUGGAAACAGUCGCCCGCAAGGUCGGUAUACAGGUGGUGCAUGGUUGUCGUCAGCUCGUGUCGUGAGAUGUUGGGUUAAGUCCCGCAACGAGCGCAACCCUCGUUCUAUGUUGCCAGCACGUGAUGGUGGGGACUCAUAGGAGACUGCCGGGGUCAACUCGGAGGAAGGUGGGGAUGAGGUCAAAUCAUCAUGCCCCUUAUGUCUUGGGCUUCACGCAUGCUACAAUGGCCGGUACAAAGGGCAGCAAUACCGUGAGUGGAGCGAAUCCCAAAAAGCCGGUCUCAGUUCGGAUUGAGGUCUGCAACUCGACCC